ACUCCAUUAAUGGCAAAACAUCGACUCCGGUAAAUAAACAAGCUUGUGAAUGCAUGAUGGACAAACACACAGACAGACGGACUGACAGAAAUAGAUCCUUAUGAUUCUGGACAAAAUGUGAACGGCAGCCAAGACCCCGGAGGAAUGCUUUGGUGAAGCCGAGGUGCGUGUCGCAUCCUUUGGGCAGAUAUGGAAGGAAUGUGUUGUCACUGCUGGCAUCUGCUCCGACCAGCCGCCUCUGAGAAGAAGAUAACAAACACAGCGGUCCGGAGAGGAGGAAGAGGAGGAGGAGGAGGAGGAGGAGGAGGAGGGAGAAGGCAUUCUGAGCUGGGGCCGUUGGUGGGAGGAGCAGGCAGGCAGUUGGGUCACACACACCACCAGCGCAGGAGCCUCAAGUGCAGACAGCUGGGAAGACGGACAGCAAGAGAGAGAGAGAGAGAGAGAGAGAGGUAGGGACAGACAGAGAGAGAGAGAGAAAGAGAGAGAGGACACCAAGGGAAAAGCAGAGAAGAGCCUCAGGUUUCAGUCUUAGCCCCGUGGAACACACACGCACACACACACACAGACACAUACACACCCACACAUCCAUGGACCGAACGGCGUGACUGACAGACAGACUGACAGUCCGCCAGAAAUAGUCAUACAGGGAAAGAAAACUGCGAAAGAUAGGCCGGCCACGCACACACACACACACACACUUGGAAACAGUGUUCAUUUUUGACUUUGUAAGAGAGGUGUGCAGACGGGAGCCCGAGCUGUUGGACUGGAGAAGAAGGAGAGGAGACACCCUGGGGAGACCCCUCCACCCCCCCCCCCC
ensembl:lncRNA